AGACGAUCUGCGCCCUCAUCACGAGCAUCCCCAUCGUGCAGCCGGCGUUCUUCUCCACGCUCGUCACGGCCAUCAGGAGCCGCUCGCCACAACCCAGCCACAGCAGCUUCUGGCCUCUGGCUGAUGAACCGGGCAUCAACCCGGGCGACCUCGACUUGACCCCCCGGCCUGAGCGGAGGCUCCUGUUCCAGGGGAAAACCUUCCAGUUCCUGCACGCCAAGCAGCACAAGCGGUUGGCGGUACCGAUCGCGCUGGCGGGCGGCGCGGCAUUGUGCCUGUGCUCCCCCGGCCAGCGCGCCGAGCCGCGGCACGGAGAAGGUUUCUGCGUGGUGGAGCCAGAGGCUGGCUGUUCGCAGCCCUCGUCCCAGGUGCUGGCGCAGGACGCGCGAGCGUGGGCUGCCCAAGUCGGCGUACG